CCAGACUCCUACGGGAGGCAGCAGUGGGGGAUAUUGGACAAUGGGGGGAACCCUGAUCCAGCGACGCCGCGUGAGUGAAGAAGUAUUUCGGUAUGUAAAGCUCUGUCAGCAGGGAAGAAAGCAAUGACGGUACCUGCCCAAGAAGCCCCGGCUAACUACGUGCCAGCAGCCGCGGUAAUACGUAGGGGGCAAUCGUUAUCCGGAAUUACUGGGUGUAAAGGGAGCGUAGACGGCAGCGCAAGUCUGAAGUGAAAUCCCAUGGCUUAACCAUGGAACUGCUUUGGAAACUGUGCAGCUGGAGUGCAGGAGAGGUAAGCGGAAUUCCUAGUGUAGCGGUGAAGUGCGUAGAUAUUAGGAGGAACCCCAGUGGCGAAGGCGGCUUACUGGACUGUAACUGACGUUGAGGCUCGAAAGCGUGGGGAGCAAACAGGAUUAGAUCCCCUCGUAAU
rnacentral:rRNA from 1 species